rnacentral:rRNA from 1 species
ACGGAGGGUCCGAGCGUUAUCCGGAUUUAUUGGGUUUAAAGGGUGCGUAGGCGGUUUUAUAAGUCAGCGGUGAAAUUUUCCGGCUCAACCGGGAUACUGCCGUUGAUACUGUAAGGCUAGGAUAUGGUUGCUGUGGGUGGAAUGUGUGGUGUAGCGGUGAAAUGCUUAGAGAUCACACAGAAUAUCGAUUGCGAAGGCAGCUCACAAAGCCAUUAUUGACGCUGAGGCACGAAAGUGUGGGGAUCAAACAG